rnacentral:misc_RNA from 1 species
GUAUGAAUAUCCUUUUCAAGGACAAAACUGCAGUAUAGCCUUACAGCUAGGAAUACUGCAGUUAGCUCUUGGGACUUCAAUGAAAGACCAGAACAGGUUUUCUGGCGAGUGAGCUUGACGAUAAGGACGAGGAUGCCGGCGGCAUGGACAGCCUCGGAGGCGACGAAGAAGUGGUUGUGGUCAUGGACAAGGUGCAUCAGGGCGAUCAGAGUGAGGAUCGCCGCCGCCGCAGCGAGGAAGACCUUGACCCUCACUGACUGGCGGCGGACCCAUCCGAACAGGACAUUGACAGGGCCCCUAGAGCUCCGUCUAUGACCCAUGGUUCUAGAGAGAGAAAGUGAGGAGAGAGAAAGAGGGGUUUGUA